rnacentral:rRNA from 1 species
UGUGUGUUAGUGGAAGCGUCUGGAAAGGCGCGCGAUACAGGGUGACAGCCCCGUACACAAAAAUGCACAUGCUGUGAGCUCGAUGAGUAGGGCGGGACACGUGGUAUCCUGUCUGAAUAUGGGGGGACCAUCCUCCAAGGCUAAAUACUCCUGACUGACCGAUAGUGAACCAGUACCGUGAGGGAAAGGCGAAAAGAACCCCGGCGAGGGGAGUGAAAAAGAACCUGAAACCGUGUACGUACAAGCAGUGGGAGCACGCUUAGGCGUGUGACUGCGUACCUUUUGUAUAAUGGGUCAGCGACUUAUAUUCUGUAGCAAGGUUAACCGAAUAGGGGAGCCGAAGGGAAACCGAGUCUUAACUGGGCGUUAAGUUGCAGGGUAUAGACCCGAAACCCGGUGAUCUAGCCAUGGGCAGGUUGAAGGUUGGGUAACACUAACUGGAGGACCGAACCGACUAAUGUUGAAAAAUUAGCGGAUGACUUGUGGCUGGGGGUGAAAGGCCAAUCAAACCGGGAGAUAGCUGGUUCUCCCCGAAAGCUAUUUAGGUAGCGCCUCGUGAAUUCAUCUCCGGGGGUAGAGCACUGUUUCGGCAAGGGGGUCAUCCCGACUUACCAACCCGAUGCAAACUGCGAAUACCGGAGAAUGUUAUCACGGGAGACACACGGCGGGUGCUAACGUCCGUCGUGAAGAGGGAAACAACCCAGACCGCCAGCUAAGGUCCCAAAGUCAUGGUUAAGUGGGAAACGAUGUGGGAAGGCCCAGACAGCCAGGAUGUUGGCUUAGAAGCAGCCAUCAUUUAAAGAAAGCGUAAUAGCUCACUGGUCGAGUCGGCCUGCGCGGAAGAUGUAACGGGGCUAAACCAUGCACCGAAGCUGCGGCAGCGACACUAUGUGUUGUUGGGUAGGGGAGCGUUCUGUAAGCCUGUGAAGGUGUGCUGUGAGGCAUGCUGGAGGUAUCAGAAGUGCGAAUGCUGACAUAAGUAACGAUAAAGCGGGUGAAAAGCCCGCUCGCCGGAAGACCAAGGGUUCCUGUCCAACGUUAAUCGGGGCAGGGUGAGUCGACCCCUAAGGCGAGGCCGAAAGGCGUAGUCGAUGGGAAACAGGUUAAUAUUCCUGUACUUGGUGUUACUGCGAAGGGGGGACGGAGAAGGCUAUGUUGGCCGGGCGACGGUUGUCCCGGUUUAAGCGUGUAGGCUGGUUUUCCAGGCAAAUCCGGAAAAUCAAGGCUGAGGCGUGAUGACGAGGCACUACGGUGCUGAAGCAACAAAUGCCCUGCUUCCAGGAAAAGCCUCUAAGCAUCAGGUAACAUCAAAUCGUACCCCAAACCGACACAGGUGGUCAGGUAGAGAAUACCAAGGCGCUUGAGAGAACUCGGGUGAAGGAACUAGGCAAAAUGGUGCCGUAACUUCGGGAGAAGGCACGCUGAUAUGUAGGUGAAGUCCCUCGCGGAUGGAGCUGAAAUCAGUCGAAGAUACCAGCUGGCUGCAACUGUUUAUUAAAAACACAGCACUGUGCAAACACGAAAGUGGACGUAUACGGUGUGACGCCUGCCCGGUGCCGGAAGGUUAAUUGAUGGGGUUAGCCGCAA